AUCUAUCAACACAGACAAGUUUGCCACUUGUUCUGAUGCUUGGAUGUUGAAGGCUUGCCGGCAUUCAUUGCCAGCUCCUUUUAAAUGCAUUAGCAGGAACUUACAAAGCUGGCUUCAGUUUGAUAAUAAUAUUUUUAUCUGUAUUGCUGUUGCUAGUGAUUGUUAAUUGUUUCAGCUUCUAAUUGUCCUUAUGGGACUGUCUCUUUAGAGGCAUAACACUUGAC
rnacentral:misc_RNA from 1 species